rnacentral:rRNA from 1 species
UACGUAGGUGGCAAGCGUUGUCCGGAUUUACUGGGCGUAAAGAGCGCGCAGGCGGUCGUUCAAGUCGCGUGUGAAAGCCCCCGGCUCAACUGGGGAGGGUCACGCGAUACUGAUCGACUGGAAGGCAGGAGAGGGUAGUGGAAUUCCCGGUGUAGUGGUGAAAUGCGCAGAUAUCAGGAAGAACACCCGUGGCGAAGGCGGUUCUCUGGGACGGUACUGACGCUGAGACGCGAAAGCGUGGGGAGCGAACAGG